AACGCAACUGGCGCCGGUUUACCGGCAUGCCUGUUUCAGUGUGCUAGGAGAGUAAACUAUCAUUAUAAAAUAUAAUGCGAUUGAGGUACAUUUAUGUUCUUCUUUCGUUAAAUAUGAAGGUGUGAAAGAUGAGUAAUCUCUCACACUGGCAAACGAAGUAGUCAUGCUUGUUCGUGAUCUCGUUUAACCAGUGCUAAAGAUUUUUGCUUAGCUUUCAAUCACAUCUAAUCAAUUAAAUAUUUCCAAACAGGGCAUGGGAAAUCAGACAAGCAUACCCUCUGAACUU
rnacentral:misc_RNA from 1 species